AUCGCUUCUUGGCCUUUUGGCUAAGAUCAAGUGUAAUAUCUGCUCUUAUCAGUUUAAUAUACUUAUGAAAUCACCCUUU
rnacentral:snRNA from 1 species